AGUAAAUGACGAGUCCCAAAUAGGACGAAACGCGCGUCCUGGAU
rnacentral:hammerhead_ribozyme from 1 species